GCUACCAAGAGGGAGAGAAAUCCCCUGUCUGAAUGUGGUGGAGCCCUCAGGGAUUUGCAGUUUCACAUCUACGUAAAAAAGCUGUUACAGCCAAGCACGGUAAACCAAGACAUACAGAUGAGUUUGCUGUCUUCCUGGCUGUCCCCGUGUGAGAGUAGAAUCAGCCUUGCCUCUGAAACUGAGUCUUUCAGAAGUCGAACCAAAGCCUUUCACAGAUGCUCAGUAUUAACGUGCUGUUUGGGGGUGCCUGAGGUUGGCAUUCAGUUACAGGAUUGGUUAUGCAUUCAAUUAAUGAGAGAAAAAUCUAAACAUAUUAAUGUCAGAAAUCCCUGAACAAGCCCCUAUAACAAGCAUUUCAAAUGACUGAGACUUGUGAAUUUUGCAUCAGUGUCUCCAUUGUCCAUCAGUGUACAAGCCUCAUUAACACCGCUACUCCUGUAAUUGUGCCUACUGCAAGUUUUCUGGCUUGCAGGAACAUUGGGGAGAUCAGUUCACUGGUGGUGGUUCUUGGGUGGUUGGACGUGACGGAAAAGGAAAUUAAUUAUCUUUCUCCAGACCACAUUUUGAAUCAUGGGCAGUAGAUAAGGCUCCAGGGCAUGUACUUCAAUAAUGAAAACAAAAUAGCAAAGUAUCAGCUCUUCUGUGCUCCUGAGUAGGGCAGGUGUUCUUCAGACAGGCCUAUGUCCGUAUACCAGCACCACUUGAACAGUGCAGGGAUCAUCCAGACUGGAAGCCAUCCUCCACGUAAGCCCAGCCGAAUUGCUGCAGUGUAUCUGAUUCCUUCAAACUGUCAAGACAGCUAAGCCUUUGCAGAGGCCCCUUCUUUGUACUUCCAACUGUGUGUAACCUGAUGGCCAAAGGCACAGCAUCGGUCGUCCCUGAUGACUUUUAUUCCACUGUAGGUGCCCCAGUCGCGUGGUGCAAUGCCUGUGUCCCGCAAGGACCACAGAGCCUCGUGGCACGUUUUGGGCGUGAGGUAUGGGGAAAUACAGAAGUAUGCUGCUGCAUGGGUAAAGGGGACCUGCUGUGGUCUGGCCUCACCCCAAACCUGUGUGCGGCUGUGGGCUCUACCACACGGAAAGGCCGUGAAGGAACCUGAAAGCGACUGGAGGAAGAGCUGGAGGAAGGGAGGGCUGAGGUGUGUACUGCAAGGGAAGGCUGGGGCAGAGCAGGCCGAGAGGUGGCCGGGCUGUGCCCUGCAGCUCCCUGAGGAGGGGAAGGGAGCGGGAGACGCCAGGGGGCUCAAGCCUGGCAUGGAGAAAUGUUUCUUCACCCCCAGGGUGGGCAAGCACUGGGACAGGCCUCUGGGAGGGCGCAGGUGCCCAAGGGGCACAGGCCAGUGCCCUCAUUUCCAGCGCAGAGUAAAGGCAAAACUGUUUUGCAGGAGGAGAACGGGGAAAUUGGAAAGAUUCUGCAGUACAGCAACCGGUCUCAUGCUGAUGUUUAAAGCACAGAAAAUAGCAAACCAAUUCAGAGCAGUGUUAACAUUUAAAAAGACUCAGAAUUACUGUACCUGAAUGCCUAUUUAAAAUUUCUGAGGUGUACAUACCGGAUUUGAAAGCAAGUAACCUUGAAAAGUUCAUAUUUCAUUCUCCUUAGUACUAUUACCUAAGUCAUUAAACAUAUUCACUUGCCUAUUUAUAUAUUAUAUUAAUUAUUUUCAAGAUUUAAGACCUCUGUGCUUUCUUAAAUUUCCCUGAUGUAUUUAAGGGGAAACAAAGGUUGGCAUUUUUGUUUGUUUGUCUCGUCUCUUUCUUGUGAAUUCUCAUCACUCUCGCAUUCAUUCAGUUGUUCAGUGAAUACCUCAUUAAUAUGAUUUCUAUCUCUGUAUAAAGGCACACGGCAAAAACACUAUUAUGUAACACUUUGAAAAGAGCUAUAAAUAGCCUACUUUAAUAACCAUGAAUUUACAUUAGAAAGGUAGAGAAACUCUGAAGUGAAAAACAUUUAUUUUUAUCUGAUGUUACUGUUUCAUAAUCUCAGUGUUAUCAGACACAUCCUGAAUAAUUUAGUAAGGUCUUGGGGUUUUAUACCAUCUGGGAAAGUCUUGCAUAUCAAAUGGGUUUGUACAACAGGAAAAGAGGUUUUGAAAGAACUACAUUUUUCUUUUGGGACUUGAUCAUGCUUACCUGGUACACAUUAAAAAACUACCAGUGACAUCCAUGGCAGAUUAGAGAAUGCAAAGAAUGGCAGGUUUGGCUCUUAGUUUACGUUUUUGUCCUUGUUGUUUUUCUAAACACAAGUGGUUCUUUCUGAAUAAUUUGAAAUAAAUCAACUUUACUGGAACUUAAAAUUUGCUUC
rnacentral:lncRNA from 1 species